CCCAGAGUACACCUUUCUAUCUGUGUCUAAGCAGAGAUGUUGAGCUUAAUUUCUACAGGUGUACUCAGAUCCCACUGCCCUAUCCACUUAGACUUUAGCUGCUCUUCCUUUCUCCUUACCAGCAGGAGAGAUAUUGUAAAAAUUUGAUAAACUAGAGUAGCAUGAGAAGUAUUCGGAUUCAGAGGAUCUAUCUCUUGCUUCACAGACCGUGUUGUUGUUCUCCAAAGAGUGCCCAAAUUGAGGAUUACAUUUGUUGAAGUUUGAGAUUCCUAGAAAAUGGAACAAAAGUCAUAAAAACAGCAUGUUCCAUUCUCCUACACUCUUCUCCCCAACCUACUCCACUCUGCCCCAGCCCCAUGGAAAGACUUAUUUUGUUCUGAACACUUAUCUUUAGCUUCGGCAGACAAUUGGCAUGUUUCAGUAUUCUGUGCUUCUAUCUGGAUCUCGCCAUCAAGGUUGCUCAUACUUACAAACCUUGGUGAAGAUUUUUGGUACCCUUUGCCUUCCUCUACAUCUUUCACCCUUUUCUCCCCUGUAUCCCACCUCUGAGAUUCACAAUCUCUAAUUCAGAGGAAACAAUUGGUAAAUUUUUAUUUUUGAAGAAAUAAACUAUCGAUUAUAAUUAUGUCACUGUCCCUGUCUCAAGGUUAACCAGGCUCAUGGCUCAUUAUUUAACUGUUUAAGAUUAUCGUCAUGUCUCAUGAAUGCUUCUGGUAGAUGUAUUAUGCACAUUUGCAGAAAAAUGGUAUAGUGAAUGUGAUGUGCUUCACAUGUGUAAACUCAUAACAUGUUGGUUAAAACUAGGUUAGGGUUAAUGUGUGAUUCUUUUGGUUUGGAAAUCUGAAUAUGGAGUGAGUUGUGUUUGAAUGAGGAUGGUAUGUGUUCUUUGUGUCUGUGUGUUAGUUCAGCACAUACCUAUGUGUCUAGAUUACAUGUCUUAUAUUUAUAGAUUUGUGUGUUUUACAUAUUUUAAUGUGGUUUAGAUGUGCAAUGUUAUUAUUGUAAAUACUCGCUUUGAGACUAGUCAAAUUAGUUUGUUUGUAAAAUAUAAGGGAAUAAUGAGAGAACACAAAGAUGUGAAAAAUCAAAGGAUGUAAGACAAAGAAUACAUGAGCUUUCAGAAUACGGAACUUUGCGAAGAGCCAAAUAAAUGAAGAAUGUGUAUGGCCAAGUGUAUAGUAACAUACAAGUAGAAAACUGCAUCAGAUGAAACAAGUAUGAAUGAUUGAGUUCUGAAGGGGUCAAGAGAUAGAAUAU
rnacentral:lncRNA from 1 species